UACGUAGGGGGCAAGCGUUGUCCGGAAUCAUUGGGCGUAAAGAGCGUGUAGGCGGUUCGGUAAGUCGGCUGUGAAAGUCCAGGGCUCAACCCUGGGAUGCCGGUCGAUACUGCCGGACUAGAGUUCGGAAGAGGCGAGUGGAAUUCCCGGUGUAGCGGUGAAAUGCGUAGAUAUCGUAAGGAAGACCAGUGGCGAAGGCGGGUCUCUGGACAGUUCCUGACGCUGAGGCACGAAGGUCAGGGGAGCAAACGGG
rnacentral:rRNA from 1 species